ACUCUGAUACUGCCAUGUAUUGCUUGGCCUCAGCUGCUCUCAGAAGCCAUGGAGUGAGGUCCUCCAUUCUGCAACUUCCGUACCUUUAAGAUUCGUAUCAUGUGAAUAAUGCUACCAAGUUCUGCCAGCUCAUCAUGGAGCCUGGUACAAAGCAGUUGCCUUCUGCAUGUCAGCUCUGUGGAAACUGUCCCAUAGGCAGCUACUUUUUUAUAAGGAGGCAAGCCCCUCAGUACAUUCGUUCAUAUAAAUAAAGACUGUCACAGUUAGGCACAAUCCCACUGUUACUGGAUCACGGAGUCCUGCUACCCACUGUCUUUGCUGAACCACAUUAGAAGCAGAGGUUGAUGAGCAAAAUAGGUUUAUUCAAGUCUGAGCUUGGAAAAACGGGAUAAACAUUUUUUUUAAUUCAAAGAAAAGUGUUUCCCAUUAACAAAGGUUUAUUGGCUUUUGUGGAGGACUCUGCCAGCAUCAUGGAUAGCAGAUAAACAAUCUAUCUCCACAAGGUGAGAAAUGAAACUCAGGUCAGCACUUCAGCAGGCACUGGAUCAAAACCUCCAGAGUCUGACCUCAAGGUUUAUUCUUCUUACAUAUUUAGUAAGCACAGUAAAACUUUUGAAAAAUGAUUCCGCAUGACAAUUUUUUUUUUCAACAAAGGGUUAGGCAUAGCUAUAUAGAAAUUUCCUAGCAAAGUACCUGUGACCUCUUUUUUGUUAUUAUUACAUAUUUUCUUCAUUUACAUUUCAAAUGCCAUCCUGAAGGUCCCCUAUACCCUCCCCAUGCCCUGCUCCCCAGCCCACCCACUCCCGCUUCCUGGCCCUGGCAUCCCCUUAUACUGGGGCAUAUAAUCUUCAUAAGACCAAGGGCUUCUCCUCCACCUGUGACCUCUUUUCUUUCUUUUUUAAAAUCAUACUAUUUUUAUUGAUUCUUUGGGAAUUUCACAUUAUUCACCCUGUUCACACUUGCUUCCAUGCUCUUCUAUGUCUGCCCGCCCUUUGUGUCCUCCCCAGCCAAUAUAAAAAAAAAAAAAAAAGAAAAGAAAAGAAAGGAAGGAAGGAAGGAAGGAAGGAAGGAAGAAAAGAAGAAAGAAAGGAAGAAAGAAAAAAAAGAAAGAAAGAAAAUAUAAGUUCAAUUUGUGUUAUCUAUAUACUCACUGGAGUGUGACCAAACUCUAAACAGCCCACCUCUUAAAUAGAACUGAGUCCUUUCCCUCCCACACCCAGAAACCAUCAAUUGUGGAGAACUACACUC
rnacentral:lncRNA from 1 species